CUCCCCACCCCCAUUCAGUCUCAUCUCUCUCUCAAGAAUGAACCUUAGCAGCCCUAAAAUCCAUCGUCGCAUCCGCCGCAAACCAUCUACUGAAAAUUGAUUCACGGCGAUUCCAGUGCUCCAAUCCACCCCAAAUUAACACACAAGACUCCCAUUCUCCUCUUCUUUAUGAACCCAAAUCCCUGUUAAACCUUUAGAAUCUUAGAUCUAAAUUCAAACCAAAAAUCUUAACUUCCCCAAAUUUGCCCAAAUCACACCCCCACGGUCCCGAACUUUUCAAUAUUACUG
rnacentral:lncRNA from 1 species